GUCACUUUGCCGGAGUGGUUAACGGGAUCGCCUGCUACCUUUGGUAGGUCCGAAGCGGUUGGGCUUUGCCCGCGUGUGUUCGAAUCGCACAGGUGACG